rnacentral:rRNA from 1 species
CUUGGUCAUUUAGAGGAAGUAAAAGUCGUAACAAGGUUUCCGUAGGUGAACCUGCGGAAGGAUCAUUAAUGUAGACCGGGGGGACACCAAUCGGUCCCUCCUCUUCAUCCCACCCCUCAUGUGAACCAUGGCGUGGCGUUUCAGUAGCGGGGCUUGAUCGCCCUUCGAAAGCCGCUCGCAUCUUUAUAAUAUACCCUUACAAAAGUCUCGGAAUGAAACCCUGCGUUAACCGCAAAAAAAAUACAACUUUCAGCAACGGAUCUCUUGGCUCUCGCAUCGAUGAAGAACGCAGCGAAAUGCGAUAAGUAAUGUGAAUUGCAGAAUUCAGUGAAUCAUCGAAUCUUUGAACGCACCUUGCGCCCUCUGGUAUUCCGGAGGGCACGCCUGUUUGAGUGUCGUGAACUCCUCCACCCUUUCGCUUCGUUGCGGCCGGGCUGGGAAUUGGGGGCUUUUGCGGGUCUUGACGAUCCGCUCCCCUUGAAUGCAUUAGCGAAGUUCCGAAAGGUCCUCGACGUGAUAAUUAUCUACGCCGUGGGUCGAUCGACCAUGGACUCAGCUUCCAACCGUCUUCGGACAAUACACACACACGAUCUUGACCUCAGAUCAGGCGGGACUACCCGCUGAACUUAAGCAUAUCAAUAAGCGGAGGAAAAGAAACUAACAAGGAUUCCCCUAGUAACUGCGAGUGAAGCGGGAAGAGCUCAAAUUUAAAAUCUGGCGGCUUCGUCGUCCGAGUUGUAAUUUAGAGAAGCGUUUUCCGCGCCGGACCGUGUACAAGUCUCCUGGAACGGAGCGUCGUAGAGGGUGAGAAUCCCGUCUUUGACACGGACCGCCGGCGCUAUGUGAUACGCUCUCGAAGAGUCGAGUUGUUUGGGAAUGCAGCUCAAAACGGGUGGUGAACUCCAUCUAAAGCUAAAUAUUGGCGAGAGACCGAUAGCGAACAAGUACCGUGAGGGAAAGAUGAAAAGCACUUUGGAAAGAGAGUGAAACAGUACGUGAAAUUGCUGAAAGGGAAACGCUUGAAGU